rnacentral:misc_RNA from 1 species
GAUGAAGAACGCAGCGAAAUGCGAUAAGUAAUGCGAAUUGCAGAAUUCCAGUGAGUCAUCGAAUCUUUGAACGCACAUUGCGCCCGCCAGUAUUCUGGCGGGCAUGCCUGUUCGAGCGUCAUUACAACCCUCAGGCCCCCGGGCCUGGCGUUGGGGAUCGGCGGAGCCCCCCGUGGGCACACGCCGUCCCCCAAAUGCAGUGGCGGUCCCGCCGCAGCUUCCAUCGCGUAGUAGCUAACACCUCGCGACUGGAGAGCGGCGCGGCCACGCCGUAAAACACCCAACUCUUCUGAAGUUGACCUCGAAUCAGGUAGGAAUACCCGCUGAACUUAAGCAUAUCAAUAAGCGGAGGA